rnacentral:rRNA from 1 species
GACGAACGCUGGCGGCGUGCUUAACACAUGCAAGUCGAGCGGUAAGGCCCUUUCGGGGGUACACGAGCGGCGAACGGGUGAGUAGCACGUGGGUGACCUGCCCUCAGCUCUGGGAUAAGCCUGGGAAACCGGGUCUAAUACUGGAUAUGACUCCAUGACGCAUGUUGUGGGGUGGAAAGCCUUGUGCGGCUGAGGAUGGGCCCGCGGCCUAUCAGCUUGUUGGUGGGGUGAUGGCCUACCAAGGCGACGACGGGUAGCCGGCCUGAGAGGGCGACCGGCCACACUGGGACUGAGACACGGCCCAGACUCCUACGGGAGGCAGCAGUGGGGAAUCUUGCGCAAUGGGCGAAAGCCUGACGCAGCGACGCCGCGUGAGGGAUGACGGCC